rnacentral:rRNA from 1 species
GACGAACGCUGGCGGCGUGCUUAACACAUGCAAGUCGAACGCUGAAGCUCAGCUUUUGUUGGGUGGAUGAGUGGCGAACGGGUGAGUAACACGUGAGUAACCUGCCCCCUUCUUUGGGAUAACGCCCGGAAACGGGUGCUAAUACUGGAUAUUCACUGGUCUUCGCAUGGGGGCUGGUGGUAAUGGUUUUUCUGGCGGGGGAUGGGCCCGCGGCCUAUCGGCUUGUUGGUGGGGUGAUGGCCUACCAAGGCGUUGACGGGUAGCCGGCCUGAGAGGGUGACCGGUCACAUUGGGACGGUGAUACGUCCCAGACUCCGACGGGGGGCAGCAGUGGGGACUAUGGCACAAUGGGUGCAAGACUGAUGCAGCGACGCCGCGUGAGGGAUGGGGGUCGUCGGGUUGUGAACCUCUGUCGCUAAUGGUCAAGCCGCAACAAUGGUUGUGGUGAGGGUAGUGGGUAAAGAAGCGCCGGCUAACUACGUG